UGUUGGAGGGUUUCCGCCCUUCAGUGCUGCAGCUAACGCAUUAAGCAUUCCGCCUGGGGAGUACGGCCGCAAGGCUGAAACUCAAAGGAAUUGACGGGGGCCCGCACAAGCGGUGGAGCAUGUGGUUUAAUUCGAAGCUACGCGAAGAACCUUACCAGGUCUUGACAUACUAUGCAAAUCUAAGAGAUUAGACGUUCCCUUCGGGGACAUGGAUACAGGUGGUGCAUGGUUGUCGUCAGCUCGUGUCGUGAGAUGUUGGGUUAAGUCCCGCAACGAGCGCAACCCUUAUUAUCAGUUGCCAGCAUUAAGUUGGGCACUCUGGUGAGACUGCCGGUGACAAACCGGAGGAAGGUGGGGAUGACGUCAAAUCAUCAUGCCCCUUAUGACCUGGGCUACACACGUGCUACAAUGGAUGGUACAACGAGUUGCGAACUCGCGAGAGUAAGCUAAUCUCUUAAAGCCAUUCUCAGUUCGGAUUGUAGGCUGCAACUCGCCUACAUGAAGUCGGAAUCGCUAGUAAUCGCGGAUCAGCAUGCCGCGGUGAAUACGUUCCCGGGCCUUGUUCACACCGCCCGUCACACCAUGAGAGUUUGUAACACC
rnacentral:rRNA from 2 species